CUUUCAUCUAACAACAGAGAACGAGGGAUAAAAUGUGAGUUCUGUUACAGAACAAUUUCUUAUUCAAAGCCAUAAGAACAGAAGAGACCUUUUUCCACAGAUGCCUCUGGUAGAGAGAGUAAGUUUGGGAGAGCGGGCAAAAUACUCUUCCGGAAUGAGGAAGUAAACGGCAUGUUUGAAGUGCAGAUGAACAUAAGCGACCAGUGAAGUAAAGCUUUCAAAAAUUCUUUGCUGUCUGGUGAGAAGGCAGCGGCCACGUCAUUGCGGAGGCUGGUGCCUACGUGGGACAAAGCCCAUCACCCCUCUUCGCCUCUUUGGCUGUCAUACGCGCAAUUCACACCUGGGAGUAAAGAAAUGUUUUCCGAUAGCAGCUUAGUACAACCAGCACCGCACGACCCAUAUCAGUUACAAAAUACUUUGAACCACGCAGGCAGGGUGUGUUUAUAACGUGUUUGAAACUUUGGGCGUCCCUGCGAGGCGAGCUAGGAAUGUCCUUGCUAAAUACCUGCUUGCCCCAUUAGGUAAUACUGUCCCUUAGGCAUGUUGCUUCCUUUAAUUAGUUCUCAUGCAAGGAGCGGUCCCCAGACAAAGGGGCAGAUAAUGCUCUCUGGCCUCCUCAGCGGUGUCCCCUCCUUUAUGCAUCUGUCCAGUGCUGCUCAGCAGGGCUGGUAUCAGACACGGGCACGGUGGGCGCUUGCCAAGUGCCCACAGACCAGCAGGGCCCCGGCAGCCAGGGCUCCCUGUGUCCGUCCCUCCUCCGCCAGCUGCUUGUUCCACUGCCUUUCCGUCGGGCCCGCGGCAGGGAUGGUGGCUCUCUGCGGGUCGCCCAAGUGGCAGCAAGGCUAAGAAAAGGCGAGGCGCGAUAGGUGAAAAGCAGUGGCAGCUGGUGACGGUGGCAGUCACAGUGGGGGGCGGGGGGGGCUGCUGCCUGUUGCAAACUGGCCGGUUCACUUCAGCUCUUGGGCGACAGGGAAUGGAGACAAAUCAACUGGAGCGAGACUGCCUCGCCCAAAGGCCCUCGAAAACCUGGCACUGGUACUGCUGGUUCGUCCGGUCACUACCGAAAUAUGGCGGUGCUAAUUCUGUACUGAUCUUGCAGGAUUCUUUCCUGGAUACCCUGCUGGAAAAGGCUGCCUUCGUUGGCAGGAAUGUUGUGAACAUGAAAGGAAAGAACUACUUGAGACAAAGACUGGAGGACCAGGUAAUCUCUGCUUUCUCCGACAGGCCUCAAUGCUAUAAAUUUAGUCAGAGAAGAAACUUGUGGAAGACCCCCUCCCACAAAAGUUUUCCGCAUGUAUCUAUUGUUGAGAAGGUCAUGGAACUCAGCGCAAAACUGGAAUGUGGGGAGGUGGAGAGAAUAUGAACACAGAGGAAGGACACGCAAAUAAGAGCAUUAAAUCCUGGGAGUACUUUGGGUACUUCAUCACCUCAAUUUUAUUAAUUCUGCGUACUUUAAGUGGUAUUUUAUUUGCAUUAGUAAAAUAAGUGGAGUUUCUCUUUAUUAAAAGGGCGCAGUGGCUCAGCAGGUAAGACGCUGAGCUUGUCGAUCGAAAGGUCGGCAGUCUGAAUCCCUAGUGCCACAUAACAGAGUGAGCUCCCGUUGCUCCGUCCCAGCUCCUGCCAACCUUGCAGCUCAAAAGCAUGCAAAUGCAAGUAGAUAAAAAGGUGCCACUUCGGUGGGCAGGUAACAGCGUUCUGUGCACUUCGGUGUUUAGUCAUGCCGGCCACAUGGCCACGGAAGUGUCCUUGGAUAAAGCCAGCUCUUUGGCUCGUAAGAGAUGAGCACCGCCCCUGGAGUCGGACACAUGUGCAAGGGAAACCUUUACUGUUACCUUACCUUUGUAUUAAGUGGGGGGAAAUCUAUUAAAGAAGCCAUGUAUUUCCUCUGCCAUCAUAAUCUAGUGAAAACAGGGAGACUUGUCAAGACACAAACUGUUAGAACUGUACAGAGACAGGGACAACUCCAUUACAACAGAGUGGGACGUUAGCUUCUCGUCAAGGGCUCGUGCCCAAGCCACGACCGUGAGACGUGAUACCUGCACUGUAUAUUAGCUCCGAGCCUCCCUAUCCAUGUCAACCCAGAAGGAAGCCCCGCUAGGUCCAGUGGUGCUUACUCUCAGGGAAGAGGGCACAGGAGUGCCUCAUGGGCCAGCUGACCAAAAGACAACUCUCGAGCCAGCAAGAAGGGCCACGUCUGUGGGAGCCGUAGCCCAAACCAUCUGGAAGGCACCCCGGCCCCGAUGCAGUCACUACGGAGCGAAGGACUAAACUGCCCAACUGUAGUGCAGGCCCCAACUGUUCCCAGCCAGCUGCAAGCCGGUUUGGGCGAGCAGAGUUGCUUCAGGGCCCAUAUUAGAAAAUUUAACACAGGCUAGUAGGAACUCUCCGUGGUGUUCUAUCAAACGAACCCACCAACUUCAACUGGAAGGUGUGGUGGUUCUUGUUUUCAAGUGGUCCCCAAGGUGACCUGUUUGGUUCCCAAAGAUACCUCCGAGACGCGCUAUUGAUUUUGCGGAGGUAACGCUGCCGUACGCAGUGCACUGAAGACGAAAGCCACGCAUACCGUGUGGCAUUAAGUUCAUUCUUGGCCAAUUCUCUGAACUGACACAUCCAGUAGGAAGUGCCUCGCAAGCCUCGCUGGAGAAAGAACUCUGAAAAGGGGGCUGGUGCUGGUCACAAAUAACCUGACUUGGGACACGGACCCACGGCAAUGACCGUACGUCCCCACACUCACUGAGGCUGCAACGGUUGUGACCUCGCGGGCUGCCCCCUCUGCACGUUUCGCUAGGUGGCCUUUUCCACCCGUCUGGCUGCGGGACACUGGAGAGGCACCAGGAAAGCGCAUGUCUUGCCCUCUCACGCUUUUGCCCCUCUGCCUGAAAACCCCUCUUCCGCCCCCUCCAGGGUGGUUUUUCUGACCCACGAUGGUAGCUGGUGCUACGUUCUUCUUUUUGCAUUUGGUUAUGGGUAAUGUCAGAUUUGUUCGGCUUGUAAGUCAAGGAAGUAUGUUUAAAAUAACCCGACUGUUGUAUUUGGAGGUUUAGAUGCUUGCAUAGAACCUACCAACUCUGCAUAUAAUUAAAAGGGAUUCUGAGCAGGGACCUUGCUGUUCACCCACAUUCACUGUACAGAGAACAAAAUAAAACAAAGGCUUUGCUUGAAAGAUGCAAUAAUUAACUUUGCCUUUCAUUUCUAAUUACUACUAGCUGUGAAGAGACCAUGGAGAAGGCAAGGUUUUUAUUCAAUUCAGCGACCACCUGCGUAAGGGCCUUUAAAUAUCUGCCUACACUAGGGAAAUCGGCCCCAGAAGUCUACCCUGCAGAAAAUGAGGGCAUUUUCUAAUUCUUUUUGAGAAAAGUCCUGCGUCAAGAAGGCAAUCAUUGCAACGACUGUGCUGCUGUUUCUCUUCACCUCCCAGAGGAUUCUCUACUAUACAAGUUAAGACAUCAAUUCUAAGGCAGGAAUUUGCCCUGAGAGUGUACCAGGGCAACCAGCAGCCAAGAAAGGGCCUUUUGUCGUGUAUAUCAUGUCCGUUGCACCAAAUGGAAAAUGGCAAGACAAAAGUUUUAAGGCAGAGGACUCAGGAAAGAAAACACUUUCUAAACAUGCUUAGCAGUGCUGUCUUUAGCUUUCACAGCAUUCAUAGAAUUACCUUCUGCUGAUGCUACGUGAAGGCAGCUUUUCUUGAUAUGUUCAUUAAAUGCUGGACAGGAAAAGCAAUCCAGUUCAGAAUGCCUCCAGCCCAAACACUCUUCUUUCCAGCUCAGAAGGAGCCAAUCUCCUAGUAAGGGACUUGCAACUCUGAAGCGUGAAAACGGCGUUACGCACUUAGUCAUCCACUUUUAAACCAGCUCAGUGGGACACUAGUCAAUUCAGGCCAGAGGCUCUUCCGCCAACCCCACCGCACUCAGACCUUCAGGUCCUCUGCCAUGCUUGUACGUCCAUCUUUUAUUUCUUAUGCAAACGGGUUCUAAUGUGGAAGACCAAUAGAGUGGUGAAGGACUACAAGACCCAUUCUGUAUCUGGAAGUUCCCAGGUUUACUCCUCAGCAUCUCCAGUUAAGUGGAUGAUGGGAAACACCUCCAGCUGGAGACCUGCGGAGUCACUGCCGGUAAAAUUGGGCCAUAUUGGACCAAAUAAACCGAGAAGCUGCAAUGCCAGUUUGUAUGUUCCUCACUGCCAGAAUGUUUUGCAAAUAUUUUGACGACAAAGACAAUAAUAAUGACGAACAGCUGCAAGGCAGGACCUGAAACAUGGCCGAAAGAGGGAAACAAGGCCUUUGGUACCACUUUCUUUAGUCUUACUGGCAUUUUAGCACUGACAUUUGAAGUAGUAUUUAUAAUUCUAGUGAAUGCUAAUCAAUACUCACUAUAAUUACAUAGUAUGUUCCAGCCAUAAUCUUGUUUCCUAACUUAGGAUUUCUCACCACACGUAUCUAGAACUGAUGAAGCACAUGCUACUGUUCACAUCAGAGCAAGAGUGGGGAAGCGGUGAACUCCACGCACCGGACGUCACAAUGCAGGUUAAUGCAAGAGCCUUCUGAGGGACUGUGCUUGUGUGAGUGUGAGUGUGAAACAGCGGCCACAGGCUGCACAUUUCAGUGACUCCGUCUGUGUGGGGGCGGUGGGGAAGGGUCCCCAUUUCUCAUGGAGGCUUCCUUCCAAGCCUCUCCCCCACCCGCAAAGGAAAACGGUAAGGGAAGCCCCGCAGCUGAAGGGGAAUGUACGUCAAGGAGCAGGCAGGAUGUGCUUUAACAGCACCUCCAGCCUGGGAGGAGGAGAUGCGCGAAUCAUUGCCGAAGCUACGCAGAGCGCUUGGGCGCUGCGUUCCCGCAACUAUGGAAGGACAAGGCACGCUGCAGGAGGGGGCAUGUAGUGUUGCUAUGGUAAUUAUUAUUUUUCGUGAGCCGUGUACACUCAGCGCUGAUGCUGAGUUACCCAAGAGCAAUUACGCCAAUUAGAAUGUGUGUGGAAUGGAAUGUUGCUGAAGUUUUUACAAAAACGUUCUGCUUGUAUUUGAGCACACGUGAAAGCCAACGGAGGGACAGGGUGACGGGAAGGGUCCAGCCCUUGCCGGGCUGCCACUCACGGGGUUCUCGCAACGUGGCAACCCACCGUGGCUCAUAAAGCGGGGCUUUCCCCAGUGCCCCCUCCAUCGUGCUGGAGGCGACGCCGUCUUAGGAACAUGCUGGUUUGGGGCGUGUUUCCCUGGCGGGCCUGGAAAUUGCGCUCGACGGGGAAAGAUCCAGGAAUCCUGGUUCUGCCUGGCAGAAUGCUAGGGGCCCUUCAGAGAGAGGAGCUCCCUGCAAAAGGGGGGGGGGGCGUGAGCAGGUGCAGCGCCGCUCUCCCCGGGCUCCCAAGGCAUCUGAUCACUCGGCCUGACAACUGGCAAAUACCGAUUGCGGGGGAGAGCUGCUAGGCUGCACACUGAGGGGUGCUGUGCCCAGGAUGGGGACCUGCACACCCAUCCCGAGGUCCCCCCGUGACUUGCGUAUCACCGCGAUCGCCCACAGUGGUGCGUACGGGGAACUGGUCUGGUGUGGUGGUGAGGAGUGUGGGGCUGGAACUCGGCAAUCCAGGUUUUAGGCUCUGCUCUCAGCCCCACCUGCCUCACAGGGUUGUUGUUGUGGGGAUAAGACUGAGAGCAGCAGGAGGAGAAUGGUGUGAGCUGCUUUGAGUUCUUUGAAAAGCUAAAAAGCAGGAUAUAGAUCCGUCCGUCCGUCCAUCCGUCCUUCCUUCGCUGUACCGUCCCAUACUUAGACGUUUCGGGACAGUUUACAAUGAAUUAAUACCGGUAGCGAUAAAACCUUCUUCAAAAUCAAUUUCCCUAAAUAUUUUGCAACACUUAAUUUAGGGAAAAAAUAAAAGAAAUUACCCUCCCUGGGCAGCUAUUAUUGUUAUUGAGUUAAAUUUUUAUGUUCUGUGGAAAUAAUACUAAUGUGUAUGAAUCGCCCCCGAAAUGCAGUACAUUACAGCACACAGCUUCAGUAUACCAUGAAAAUUCCCAUGGACUGGGAGUGCAGUCAGCAAGAUAUCAGAUGCCUCCUGUCACUAAUGCUGUAUUGCUAUGAAGAAGAGAUGCGUAAUGCCUUUUGAUGAAAAGAUCUAUGCAAUAUUUAUUCCAAUAAAAUUCCUGGAGAUGAGUAAGGAUAGAUGGAAAGAGAAGUACCCCAUCACAUGCCUCUUUUAAUCUAUUCUAUCUUAUAUUUCCUGGAAGAAAAACUUGACGAAGUAAUAGAAAAUGCUACCUUAGCUCUUCCUCAGCUUGUCAGCCCUUCUGGAACUGCCUUCUCAAAAGAGAGUGGGGAGGUACGGACAGAAAGUGCACAGGUCAUCUCCUCUCAGCCUGGCCGUAGAGGAAACAGACGCCGCCACCUCCGAAUAUCCCAGGAAGGACUAGAAGAAAGGAUUAUUUCUGAGUUCUUAGAGAAGAGUGCAUGACAUUCGGCUCAAGAGAAAAGGCUUCACUUCCCACAGGAGAUGUAAGUUUGCUUUAUUAACAUUUGAUAUGGACAAGAAAUGUGAAUAAUUAUCUGGUAUAAGUAUAGGAACUGACAGUGUUAUACAGCGUUUGUUUCUUUCUGGUGGCUCGGAAGGUACCACAACCCACUCCACAGACAUAGUAACCCACCCCACGGUCUCAUGUGCUGACACAUACACACAUGCUAGUGAUGCUAAGCAAGUAACUGCAGUAUUCUCUCGCUUACUGCAGGGAGAGCGUGAGGGAUUUUACUCACAGUGAGGGAUGUUCCCAAAUACGGAUACCCUGGGAAAUUCCAGCUUAAAGCUGGGCCAGCAAAAUUGUCUGUCUCUAAAGCAGCAGCCUUUUAAAAUGCUUUAUAUUUAAUCACCAAAUGAUUAGCAGAGGAAGAAGAACCAUCUUUUAAAUAUCCCAUUUUUAUUCCACAGCAAUUUUUAUAUCAAAGUUAUUGUCAGUAUUUUAAAUGUCUCUAAUUCUCUAAAAGUCUGCAAGCAUAUUUAAAAGCAACCCUUUUAUAAAACCACGCAUUUCCCAGAAGAAAGGGGAGAGCAUUUUAAUAGUUCUAAUGCCAAAAAUAUGAAGUAGUGGAUCUAAAAAUCUGAGGCAGAGUUCAAAAAGGGAAAUAUUCAGGCUUCCCACCACAGAACACAGCUCACCAAUGCACCAACUUAGUAUUGACUGGUUGCUAAUCAUUCAUUUUCUUUCAGUGCCUCAAAAGAUGUUGUUAGCCUAAACAGACCUGCUUGCAGACCUACAUUAGAUUUAUUUAGCAACUGCAUCAGCCAAAGGACAUAGACACAGUACACAGUUCAAAGCCCAUAAGCACAUAGCAAACAUGUUUUAAAAUUCUACAUCCAUUUUAAAGGGAGCCACGGCUCUUCAUAACCUCUGGAGUUCAAAGAACUACAGAUUGUUUCAAGAACACUUUGAGAAUAAGCCAGGAUCUCAACAUACAGUUUAAUCCUGGCUUGUUCUCUAACCAUAGUUAAAACGAGCCAUAUUUCCAUACAUUUGGGUAUCAUGGGGGAAUUGUGGUUAGUCCAUGCCAGAGGAGGAGAAGGGAAGGGUUGUGAAUGUAAAGGCUUAACAUGGCCUGUUCAUGUCAUGAGAAACCAUGACGUCCCAUCAAGCCUUCUCCUGAAUUCCUCUGUAUUGACAAAGCCCUCACUCAUGGUGUCUGAAGGCUGCUGUCCACACAAGCCCUCUAUGGUGCAGGUCACUACCAGACUGGCGUAUUUCACUUGUAUUUCAGAAUGCUUAGAAACCAAGGUAGAUACCAUGUUAUCUUUUUGAAGGAGGAACAGCUGUCACUUGGAUCAAGGUUUCUGCACCUUUGCCGGGGAACUGUCUCUGGAUGGAAAUCUGUGACUCAGACAUUGACUGCUGCCUGUGGUAGAGUCUGUCACGGCCCUGAACCCUCCUCUGCAUCCCAUUUUCGUGUUCACCUCCCUGGUUCCCAACAAAGAAAUGGUUGCACAUCACAGGUGUAUCGCUGCACACCUGCCCAGAAAGAGUCUGAAAGGGAACAAACCCAGCAGAUGUCUGAACCCAAACAGUGUUGUACAGACCCCGUUGGGUGCUAUAGAAGGCAAAACCAGGCAGCCUUUCAUGUAGAUCAGAAAUCAGCAACAUAGUAGUAAUUAAAGUAUUAGUAAUAAGACCCCACUGUGCAAUAAUCACCUGUAUUGCAUGUCUCUGAUAAAGAAUUGUGAUCUUCCAAUGAGAAAAUUCAGUUGCUGAAAAUUAGCAUUGACAUCCGAACUUAGGCAAGUAAUACAUAGUCAAGGGCCUCCCCCCCAGGGGAAAAGUGAUUCUCCUCCUUAGCCGUGAAAGAACAGGAUACGUGAGCAAAGCAAAUGGCCCCUGUGAUGGUCCUGCACUUCCUUUGGCCCCAAUCCUAUACAAAUCCUAACCUUUGUGGGACUCCACUGCGUGUGACCCUGAAGAGGCCACGAUCACAUUUUUCCAUCCCAAAAUAAUAGCAAUUUACCUCGCCAUGGGCCAUGGGAAAGUGGAAAAUGUUUGUUUGUGUACCUCUUGCUAUGCGUACAACUGAUUUAAUUUUGUUUCCUUACUAUUCAUGUCAGAAGGAGAGUUCUUUGACCCACUGUGUGCUAUGCAAUCCGUCAAAUCCUUUUGAGGCCACAUAAACAUAAAUGGAAUUAAAAGAAUGUGAUAAGAAAAGUUGAUCAAAACACUGUUUUUAUUUGUUCCCUCUCCAGACAAUGGACAAUAGGAAUAGUCAGCCUAGGAAGCCACAGCAAGCACAAGCUUAACCACGGCGGCUUCCCUUCUCCCUUCCCAUGAGAUGCUGAGCAAGCCAGGAACUGCAGGUAACUGGCUCCCCGUUGCCUCCUGAUGGGAAAUCAAUGGUUAAUAGCUUCCAACCUAACUAAGGCCAAGAAGCCAUCUUUAAACCGUGGCUUCCUAUUCUGACUUCUCCGGGAUAUGGGAAGUCGUCAUUUCCUGGUUCAGACAUAAUGGAAGUUAAACCGCAUAGUUAACUGUGGUUCUUGCCUAGUUUCAGUGUUUAAGUGAAGGGAGGAAUUAAGCGGCUGCGUGCGAGGACCUGACACUUGUGCAUAUCUCUGCUUAUUAGGCAAAUUAUCUUCAUCUUCCUAAUGCGACCACCGUGUGGGGAAGAUAAAGCAAUUCUGAAUCAGCCAAGAAUAAGAGCUUAAAAGCACCGGAGCAUAUAAUCUCCGCAGCACAAAGACGAACACUGACGGAAGAAGUAAUUUGGUUCGUACGCUGCUCUUGCAUCUCCUCAAUAAGGUACUGAAGAUAACUACUAAUAUUUUCCAGAAGCUGCCGAAUGAGCUGUAAACACCAAUCCUAUAAUACAAGGACUACGGGACUGUGGAACAAAUAAUUUAUUUCGCCUUCUGUGCUCCUGACAGUAAGCGACUGCACGCUGACAACCGGGAGCCCCCCAAAAUGGGCACGGCACCAAGAAUUCCAGGACUGCAGACAGCCGCUUAGUAAUCAGCUUCCAGCACAUAAUGCCCGAGCAACACAAUGGCUGCUUAAGGACACCGAAUCCUCUCGCUGCACAUGCCCACCUUGCGGACAGAAACUGCAGACGUGUUUUCUGCGGAAGGGACUCCUGAGAUGAAAGCUGCGAACGACGGACAGGCAGGCCCACUUCCUCUGGCAACCAGGGCGUGUGACGACAGGCCUGGAUCACUCCCUGCAUAGCGGCUCCCACUGCCCUGUUCUGAUAGAGGCUUCUGUGAGUAUUCCUUCAGAGCUAUACAUUCACGAGGGAAGGCAAGAUUGGUGGGCAACCUUGUGAAUUCACAAAACGCACCACUUGGUUUCUUCUCUGUCCGUGCACUCAAGUGAAAACAGGGCACUAUCGGCCACGGAUUCCGAUCCACACUGCAGCAGACAUUCCCAAGUGUUCUCAGAGCUUUUUAGUUGGAAACGCUGCGGGGGCACAAGGCGUCAGGAGAGCUCAACCUCUUGACCAGGAGCCUCAAUAGAACAAAAAUGGAGAAACCUCCAUUUGCAAGCAAAAGGGAAUGAUCAAGAGGAGUAUUUUUACAAAAAAAUAAAACCUAGACAGAACAAAAGAAAAAUACCGUCUACAGGCUUUAUACCAAGGGAAAUCCAUUUUACUGGUGUAUUACAUUUUUAUCCUGUCGCAAGAAACUCAGGGUAAGCACACACGGUUUUCUCCCGCUCACCUAUUUUAUUCUCACAACAAUCCUAUGGGGUAGGUCAGCUGAGAGACAGCAACAGCAUCUGGGUGGGUAUUUUAAGGCCACCCCAGACAAUCUUAUUUCAGCUUAUUACUGCUUAGCAACUUUGGCCGAGAUAUGAACAAGCUGUUUCCGCCUUCCAUUACAUAGCAUCAGAGUGCAAUGCAGAAAUAUCUAAUUAACGAUAAUUUCCAGUUUCAUCCAAAAUGGGGAACCAGGGUUAUUAGAGUUUGGGAGCAAGUCAAGAUCUUAAACCAAUUUCAUGCUGUAGUUUAAGAUCCCAACUUGUUUCAAAGUCCUUAAGUGACAACCAAUGUUUCCCAGUAUGGACAAAACAGGGCAUGUUUGUAAUGAGUAAUGAGAUACUUUCUGUUUUAAUUGCAGCCAAGCAAAGGGAAGAGCAAACAGUCAGAAUGCUUUCUUGGCUUAAUAACAGGAUAUCUGAAUCUGGCUGUUAUAACCACUACACAACUCUCGCUAGACGUUUUUUAUUAAAAGCUGCAACUAUCUUACAAGUAGGUAUGAAUUCCUAAGUGGCAGCACACAUCGAAAGAAAAGCAAUUAGACAUUCCAAAGUAAUGUGCAAUUAGAAAGCCCAAAUGAGGAGCAGCUUCUCUCCAAGCACACCUUAAUAUUCUCCGCAUUUCGGCUGUCAUGGCAGCGCCUAUAUAUUAAGGCUAAAAGCCUUCAUCGAUUAAUCAGGGCAAUGAAUCAAAUCAAUUAGUGGCUGACAAAUUAAAAUGUGGACUUUUAAUUAUCUCUUAAUAAGAGCUGCCCCCUUGCUAACAGACUGUACACUGUAGCACAGAGACGAGCUUUUUUCCUACAGCCAGCAGGUGCCAAUGACAGGUGGGAAAGGUGUUGAUUCAAAAGGACUUAAUGUGGCUUUUUUUUCUUAACUUGCUCACUUCUUUAAUACUUUGGUCCUUGUCUUUACAACUGUUAUCUCUACAAACAAAAGGGCUGGUAUUCCAGGAUUCAUACACCCAAAAAUCCCUUUUUGAUAACAGAAAGAGCUAUAUUGCAGACCAUGAGUCUAUCCUGCCCGAUGUUUGUGCGACUGGAUGAAGAUUUCCCCGUCUAGUCUGGGGGUGCCAAUGACUGAACCUGGAACCUCUGCGUGCAAGGCAGGGUCUCUACCACUGAACUUCGGCCCAUGAACUUUUACUAUCAAAAUUCAGAGCGGAGGUGAAAAGAUGAACCUUACAAAAGCAGCCCAUGACGGGUGGCGACUCAUGUCCAAAUGCCUGGGAAAAUAAGUACGUCUUCAUAUGCGCUGUAAAGUUGGAAGGGCAUAGAGUGGUUAAGAGAUUUCAGAACAGGGCCAUGCUAAUAUUAGCUGUACUCUCACAGAUAAAAAGGAAGGAAUGCUUUGCUGGAUUGCAAGACAUGCUUGCACAGAGGAUACACUAACAUUUUAUAAAAUUGUAAGCCGUCUGGAGACGUUUAGUGGAAGACGGGAUAAACAUGUUUUAUUAAAUUAAAAUUAAACUCAAA